UACGUAGGGGGCAAGCGUUGUCCGGAAUCAUUGGGCGUAAAGAGCGCGUAGGCGGCCCUGUAAGUCCGCUGUGAAAGUCAAGGGCUCAACCCUUGGAUGCCGGUGGAUACUGCAGGGCUAGAGUCCGGAAGAGGCGAGUGGAAUUCCUGGUGUAGCGGUGGAAUGCGUAGAGAUCGGGAAGAACAUCAGUGGCGAAGGCGGCCUGCUGGGCUGUUGCUGACGCUGAGGCGCGACAGCGUGGGGAGCAAACAGG
rnacentral:rRNA from 1 species